GAUGAACGCUAGCUACAGGCUUAACACAUGCAAGUCGAGGGGCAGCAUGGAAGAAGCUUGCUUCUUCUGAUGGCGACCGGCGCACGGGUGCGUAACGCGUAUCAAACCUGCCUCAUACUCGGGGAUAGCCUUGCGAAAGUAAGAUUAAUACCCGAUGUUGUUGCUUUCUCGCAUGGGAGAGUAACCAAAGAUUUAUCGGUAUGAGAUGGUGAUGCGUCCGAUUAGGUAGUAGGCGGGGUAACGGCCCACCUAGCCCUCGAUCGGUAGGGGUUCUGAGAGGAAGGUCCCCCACACUGGAACUGAGACACGGUCCAGACUCCUACGGGAGGCAGCAGUGAGGAAUAUUGGUCAAUGGGCGAGAGCCUGAACCAGCCAAGUAGCGUGCAGGAUGACGGCCCUCCGGGUUGUAAACUGCUUUUAGUUGGGAAUAAAAAAAGGGACUUGUCCCUUCUUGUAUGUACCUUCAGAAAAAGGACCGGCUAAUUCCGUGCCAGCAGCCGCGGGAAUACGGAAGGUCCAGGCUUAUCCGGAUUUAUUGGGUUUAAAGGGAGCUGUGGCGGUUGUUAAGUCAGCGGUUAUGGGGUGUGGCUCAACCAUGCAUUGCCGUUGAGAACUUGGCGAUGUUGAGUGCAGACGGGGAUGCCUGAAUUCUUGGUUGUGUCGGUGAAAUGCUAAUAUGUAACGAGAAAUCUGAUUGUGUGGCUGGUGUUCGGCUGCUGCUGUGUGUGAGCUCUAAUGUGUGGGUGUCAACAGGAUUGAUGCCCUGGAUUCCAGGUGGAUUCUCUGUUGAUGUAUGCUUUUGUUUGUGUGUGCCGCGGGAGAGCCCGUGUCUUGUUUUGUGCUUUUGUUGUGGGUGUGUUAGUGUGGUGUGUAUGUGUG
rnacentral:rRNA from 1 species